ACGCUCGACACCUACGUGAGGCAGCAGUGGGGAAUAUUGCACAAUGGGGGAAACCCUGAUGCAGCGACGCCGCGUGAAGGAUGAAGUAUUUCGGUAUGUAAACUUCUAUCAGCAGGGAAGAAAGUGACGGUACCUGACUAAGAAGCCCCGGCUAACUACGUGCCCGCAGCCGCGGUAAUCUGAGCGGGCUGGCAAGGC
rnacentral:rRNA from 1 species